ncrna:Ruegeria sp. R11 SAM/SAH riboswitch
UUACUGCCACAACGGCUUCCUGGCGUGGCAGGCUGAACCCCCAACGGAGCA